ACUCCUACGGGAGGCAGCAGUAGGGAAUCUUCCACAAUGGGCGCAAGCCUGAUGGAGCAACACCGCGUGAGUGAAGAAGGGUUUCGGCUCGUAAAGCUCUGUUGUUAAAGAAGAACACGUAUGAGAGUAACUGUUCAUACGUUGACGGUAUUUAACCAGAAAGUCACGGCUAACUACGUGCCAGCAGCCGCGGUAAUACGUAGGUGGCAAGCGUUAUCCGGAUUUAUUGGGCGUAAAGAGAGUGCAGGCGGUUUUCUAAGUCUGAUGUGAAAGUCUUCGGCUUAACCGGAGAAGUGCAUCGGAAACUGGAUAACUUGAGUGCAGAAGAGGGUAGUGGAACUCCAUGUGUAGCGGUGGAAUGCGUAGAUAUAUGGAAGAACACCAGUGGCGAAGGCGGCUACCUGGUCUGCAACUGACGCUGAGACUCGAAAGCAUGGGUAGCGAACAGGAUUAGAUACCCUGGUAGGAUAGCG
rnacentral:rRNA from 1 species